CCAGCCUUCCAAGCUGGUCACGUGGGUUCGAUUCCCAUCGCCCGCUCCA
rnacentral:tRNA from 1 species